rnacentral:tRNA from 1 species
UUAUUAUUAAUUUUUUCAAGUUUAGAGUUUGAUAUUAAUAUAUAUAUAUUUAAUAAU